UAAAUCAGAAAAAAAAGAAAAAACAACAUGAGGUCCUCUUAUUUAGUAUACUCAAUCUUAUUAUAAGAGACUGUACGUGUCAUCAAUUGGUUGGACAAACCGAUUAAUAGAGAUAAAAGAUUUUUUAAUGGUCGAUUGAUUUUUUUUUUCUUCCUCUUCCUCUUUCCUCUCUCUGUCUCUCUCUCUCGAACUCGCGAAUUGACAAUCGAAGAAGAAGAUGAAAUUGGAGGAGAUUGAAUUGGCGGAGGUGAUUGAAUUGAUCUCAGUCGGCAGUUAUUUUGUUAUAUUUUGUUCUUUGAAAUCGAGAAUCUCCUUCAACAAAUUGGGUUCGCUAUUUUCUCAAUUUUGAUUUGCAAUUCGAUUUCGCACUCUCAAAUUCAUAAUUUUGUUGAAGUUUUGGAUUGAAACUUGUGUAAUCAUAGUUUUAUAGAUUCAUAGUUAUUGUGUGCGUCAUGGUUUGAUAAUAUAUUCAAUGAUACAUGUUAAAUGUGGUGUUCGUGUAUGAUAGCUUUAUCAAGUUUUUUUUUUCUUUCUCAAAUUGUGUUGUGUGCACAUUGCGGUGUUUAUUGAAGCUAUGUCUAAACGAACAGUAGAGACGAGAAGAAGCCAGUGAGAGGAUCUCGUCUCAUCAUGAUCAACAACAAAAAGCCAGUGAGAGACAUUAUGAGAAUGUUAUAUAGGAUCUGGGAUGUCCAAUUUCGAGAAAGAGAAUUUGAAUGUCUUGUUAAGGCGUUGUGUUAGGAAUCUAACUCCUGAAGUUGAUGAGGUUCCUUGGAAUCCAACCAGGCAUGUGAUCCUCUGAAUAGAUCUUCAUCACCAUUGUUACCAACAAGCUACUCACAAAGUUCAUCAUAUGCAUAGCACUCCUGAAGAUCUUUAGUCCAUCUGGUGUCUGUGCGCUGAAGAACUCGAGCUCGAUACCCAUAGUCAUGAUGGUCAUGUUCCAAAGAGAAAACAUGGGAUAUUAAUUGUCGUGCUUUUCUUCGAUACGAGUUUUGGUUAUAGCUUCUGUGUCCACACAUUUAUCUUAGCUUCUUAGGUAAUAAGACAAGUUUCGAUCAA